rnacentral:rRNA from 1 species
CCCUGUUCAGUGAUUUCGGUCGCUGUCUAAGGACUAGCAGUGGGGAUCUUAGCAACUUCGGUUGCAUUUCUGGUGAUGACUCUGAAUAACUGAGCAAAUCGUAUGGCCUCUGAGCCGACGAUGUAUCCCUCAAGCAACUGCCUUAUCAACUGUCGAUGGUAGGUUAUGCGCCUACCAUGGUUGUAACGGGUAACGGGGAAUUAGGGUUCGAUUCCGGAGAGGGAGCCUGAGAAACGGCUACCACAUCUAAGGAAGGCAGCAGGCGCGCAAAUUACACAAUCCCAGUACGGGGAUGUAGUGACGAAAAAUAACAAUACGGGACUCUAUUGAGGCCCCGUAAUUGGAAUGAGUACAAUUUAAAUCCCUUAACGAGGAACAAUUGGAGGGCAAGUCUGGUGCCAGCAGCCGCGGUAAUUCCAGCUCCAAUAGCGUAUAUUAAAGUUGCUGAGGUUAAAAAGCUCGUAGUUGAACCUUGGCCCUGGCUGGCCGGUCCGCCUCACCGCGAGCACUGGUCCGGCCGGGGCUUUCCCUCUGGGGACCCUCAUGCCCUUCACUGGGUGUGCUGGAGAACCAGGACUUUUACUGUGAACAAAUCAGAUCGCUCAAAGAAGGCUCUCGCUCGAAUGCUUCAGCAUGGAAUAAUAAAAUAGGACGUGCGGUUCUAUUUUGUUGGUUUCUAGGACCGCCGUAAUGAUUAAUAGGGACAGUCGGGGGUGUCAGUAUUCAAUCGUCAGAGGUGAAAUUCUUGGAUCGAUUGAAGACUAACUACUGCGAAAGCAUUCACCAAGGAUGUUUUCAUUAAUCAGGAACGAAAGUUAGGGGAUCGAAGACGAUCAGAUACCGUCGUAGUCUUAACCAUAAACUAUGCCGAUUAGGGAUCGGACGAUGUUAUUUUUUGACUCGUUCGGCACCUUACGAUAAAUCAAAAUGUUUGGGCUCCUGGGGGAGUAUGGUCGCAAGGCUGAAACUUAAAGAAAUUGACAGAUGGGCACCACCAGGGGUGGAGCCUGCGGCUUAAUUUGACUCAACACGGGGAAA